rnacentral:rRNA from 1 species
CCUACGGGAGGCAGCAGUGAGGAAUAUUGGUCAAUGGCCGGAAGGCUGAACCAGCCAUGCCGCGUGAAGGUCAGUGCCCUAUGGGCGUUAAACUUCUUUUGUGCGGGAGCAAUAAUGGUCACGUGUGGCCAGACGAGAGUACCGUACGAAUAAGCAUCGGCUAACUCCGUGCCAGCAGCCGCGGUAAUACGGGGGAUGCCAGCGUUAUCCGGAUUUAUUGGGUUUAAAGGGUGCGUAGGCUGUGAGGUAAGUCAGCGGUGAAAUGCCCCCGCUCAACGGGGUGAAGUGCCAUUGAGACUGCCUUGCUGGAAUGCGGAUGCCGUGGGAGGAAUGUGUGGUGUAGCGGUGAAAUGCAUAGAUAUCACACAGAACACCGAUUGCGAAGGCAGCUCACGAAUCCGCGAUUGACGCUGAUGCACGAAAGCGUGGGUAUCAAACAGGAUUAGAUACCCCUGUAGUC